CAGUCGAACGGCAGCACGGAGCUUGCUCUGGUGGCGAGUGGCGAACGGGUGAGUAAUAUAUCGGAACGUACCCUAGAGUGGGGGAUAACGUAGCGAAAGUUACGCUAAUACCGCAUACGAUCUAAGGAUGAAAGUGGGGGAUCGCAAGACCUCAUGCUCGUGGAGCGGCCGAUAUCUGAUUAGCUAGUUGGUAGGGUAAAAGCCUACCAAGGCAUCGAUCAGUAGCUGGUCUGAGAGGACGACCAGCCACACUGGAACUGAGACACGGUCCAGACUCCUACGGGAGGCAGCAGUGGGGAAUUUUGGACAAUGGGCGAAAGCCUGAUCCAGCAAUGCCGCGUGAGUGAAGAAGGCCUUCGGGUUGUAAAGCUCUUUUGUCAGGGAAGAAACGGUGAGAGCUAAUAUCUCUUGCUAAUGACGGUACCUGAAGAAUAAGCACCGGCUAACUACGUGCCAGCAGCCGCGGUAAUACGUAGGGUGCAAGCGUUAAUCGGAAUUACUGGGCGUAAAGCGUGCGCAGGCGGUUUUGUAAGUCUGAUGUGAAAUCCCCGGGCUCAACCUGGGAAUUGCAUUGGAGACUGCAAGGCUAGAAUCUGGCAGAGGGGGGUAGAAUUCCACGUGUAGCAGUGAAAUGCGUAGAUAUGUGGAGGAACACCGAUGGCGAAGGCAGCCCCCUGGGUCAAGAUUGACGCUCAUGCACGAAAGCGUGGGGAGCAAACAGGAUUAGAUACCCUGGUAGUCCACGCCCUAAACGAUGUCUACUAGUUGUCGGGUCUUAAUUGACUUGGUAACGCAGCUAACGCGUGAAGUAGACCGCCUGGGGAGUACGGUCGCAAGAUUAAAACUCAAAGGAAUUGACGGGGACCCGCACAAGCGGUGGAUGAUGUGGAUUAAUUCGAUGCAACGCGAAAACCUUACCUACCCUUGACAUGGCUGGAAUCC
rnacentral:rRNA from 1 species